rnacentral:rRNA from 1 species
GAUGAACGCUGGCGGCGUGCCUAAUACAUGCAAGUAGAACGCUGAAGGAGGAGCUUGCUCUUCUGGAUGAGUUGCGAACGGGUGAGUAACGCGUAGGUAACCUGCCUGGUAGCGGGGGAUAACUAUUGGAAACGAUAGCUAAUACCGCAUGACAACAGUUAUUGCAUGAUAACUGUUUAAAAGGGGCAACUGCUCCACUACCAGAUGGACCUGCGUUGUAUUAGCUAGUUGGUGAGGUAACGGCUCACCAAGGCGACGAUACAUAGCCGACCUGAGAGGGUGAUCGGCCACACUGAGACUGAGACACGGCCCAGACUCCUACGGGAGGCAGCAGUAGGGAAUCUUCGGCAAUGGACGGAAGUCUGACCGAGCAACGCCGCGUGAGUGAAGAAGGUUUUCGGAUCGUAAAGCUCUGUUGUAAGAGAAGAACGAGUGUGAGAGUGGAAAGUUCACACUGUGACGGUAUCUUACCAGAAAGGGACGGCUAACUACGUG